UAGGGCUAGUGGAAGACUUAAGAUGGCGGCGUUUGCACGGAGUGCAAUCACUGCGUCCUUACGGGGGUUGCAAGGCGUCCGAAGUAUGAGUCCACUAACAAAAGUCCAGAAACUCGCCAGUUAAUAGUAUUGUGAUGGAGUUCGCUCUUGUUGCCCAGGCUGGAAUGCAAUGGCAUGACCUUGGCUCACUGCAACCUCUGCCUCCCCAGUUCAAGUGGUUCUCCUGCCUCAGCCUCCCGAGUAGCUGAGAUUACAGGUACUGGCUCCUGUAUCACCCAGCUCUGGAGUUGAAAGAGCUCUUCAUUCCUGAGUCUCCUGUACCACUGAGAAUAGGCUGGAGUGCAGUGGCGCAAUCUCGGCUCUCUGCAACCUUCACCUCCCGUGUUCAAGUGAUUCUCCUGCCUCAGCCUCCUGAAUACCUGAGAUUACAAGCAUGCACCACCACGCCCGUCUAAUUUUGUAUUUUCACUAGAGACGGGGUUUCUCCAUGUUGGUCAGGCUGGUCUCGAACUCCCGACCUCAGGUGAUCCGCCCGCCUCAGCCUCCCAAAGUGCUGGGAUUACAGGCAUGAGCCACCGCGUCCAGCAAGAAUAGGUGAUUUUCAAACUUGGAAACAUUCAGAAGUUAUCGCCUCAGUUUCAGAUUGAGUAGUCUCAAAGAGAUUACAGACAUCUACCACAAAUUCUCUACUUGGUGUGGUGCAAAAUCAGUAUGAUGUAAACUUUGUCUCUCAGUUUCUUCAAAGGAAAGAAGCAACUGGAACACACAUAUAACACUAACCCUUCCAGCUGCAUUAUGAGGGACCAGUACCUGUCUCAAGGCAAAAUUAUGACUUAGUUCAUCCUCACCUCUGGAGGCCAGUAAAAGUGGGUUAUAGAAGAACAAAGAGGCAUCUAGAUCUUUCACUGGGUUAUUUGGAGAGAAACAUCUCCUACCGAAGGCCAGUUUAACAAGACUGGUAGAGGAGGUUAUCUUAUCUAAUUCACAGAAAUCAACACAUUGAGUCAAGAAAAAUGAAACACAGAAACACUCUAAAUAAAAGAAGAUAAGUCUUCAGAAACCAACCCUAAUGAAAUGAAGAUAUGUGAUUAACCUGACAGGAAAUUAAAAAGAGCAACCAUAAAGAGUCUCAUGGGAGCAAUGCAUGAACAAACUGAGAAUUUUCAUAAAGAAAUAAAAGAUAACAAAAAGUAUAAAGUUGAAGAAUACAAUAACUGGACUCAAAAAUUUAAUGUGUCCAACAGAAGAAUCGAUGAAGCAGAAGAAAGGGCUAUCAAACUUGUAGAUAGGCCAUUGGAAAUCAUGUAAUGUGAGGAGAAAAAAGAAAAAAGAUUGAAGAUAGUUUAAGAGACUUUUGAGACAUCCUCAAAGGGGAAUAAUUUAUACAUUACCAGAUGGAGAAGAUAGAGGGAAAAGGACAGAAAACAUAUUUGAAGAAAUAAUGUCAGAAAACCUCAUAAUUCUGGCAAGGAAAUAGAAAUUUAGAUCUAAGAAUCUCGAACAUCAGGUAUGAUGAAUCCAAGGAGACUCACACCAAACCAUAUUGUAAUUAAAUAAAGGUUAAAGACAAUCUUCAGAGCAGCAAGGGAAUAGUCUCUUCUUACAUACAAAAUGAUCCACGGAAGACUGUCAGCAGACUUCACCAGAAAACUUUCACGCCAGAAGGCAGUCGUGAUAUAUACAAAAAGCUGAAAGGAAAACACUGCCAUCCAGGAAUACUAUCUCCAACUAUCCUGUGUUUCAAAAAUUAAGGAGAAAUAUAAAGUUCUCAAACAAAAGAUGUGGGAGUUUACCACCACUAGACCUGCACGGGAAGAAUUGCUAAAGGGAGUCCUUCAAGCUGUAGUAAAAGAGUGCUAAUUAGAAACAUG
rnacentral:lncRNA from 1 species